UUUAUAGAUUUCAAAGAAAAAGAGUUUUAUGUGCAAAGUGUUCUUGGGUUCUUUUGGUGAGAGAUGUGAGUUGGGUUUGACAUUGGGAAGUGAUUGUGUAACUUGUAUGUUUGGGAAAAGGGUAGAACAAUGGAGAUUGAGCAUUGUAUGCAUGAGUUGGUCCCUUUCUUAGAUAUAUUAUGUGCAAUGUCAAAGCUACUUGUCUUGAGAG
rnacentral:lncRNA from 1 species